GACGAACGCUGGCGGCGUGCCUAAUACAUGCAAGUAGAACGCUGAAGAGAGGAGCUUGCUCUUCUUGGAUGAGUUGCGAACGGGUGAGUAACGCGUAGGUAACCUGCCUUGUAGCGGGGGAUAACUAUUGGAAACGAUAGCUAAUACCGCAUAACAAUGGAUGACACAUGUCAUUUAUUUGAAAGGGGCAAUUGCUCCACUACAAGAUGGACCUGCGUUGUAUUAGCUAGUAGGUGAGGUAAUGGCUCACCUAGGCGACGAUACAUAGCCGACCUGAGAGGGUGAUCGGCCACACUGGGACUGAGACACGGCCCAGACUCCUACGGGAGGCAGCAGUAGGGAAUCUUCGGCAAUGGGGGCAACCCUGACCGAGCAACGCCGCGUGAGUGAAGAAGGUUUUCGGAUCGUAAAGCUCUGUUGUAAGUCAAGAACGGGUGUGAGAGUGGAAAGUUCACACUGGACGGGUAGCUUACCAGAAAGGGACGGCUAACUACGUGCCAGCAGCCGCGGUAAUACGUAGGUCCCGAGCGUUGUCCGGAUUUAUUGGGCGUAAAGCGAGCGCAGGCGGUUUGAUAAGUCUGAAGUUAAAGGCUGUGGCUCAACCAUAGUUCGCUUUGGAAACUGUCAAACUUGAGUGCAGAAGGGGAGAGUGGAAUUCCAUGUGUAGCGGUGAAAUGCGUAGAUAUAUGGAGGAACACCGGUGGCGAAAGCGGCUCUCUGGUCUGUAACUGACGCUGAGGCUCGAAAGCGUGGGGAGCGAACAGGAUUAGAUACCCUGGUAGUCCACGCCGUAAACGAUGAGUGCUAGGUGUUGGAUCCUUUCCGGGAUUCAGUGCCGCAGCUAACGCAUUAAGCACUCCGCCUGGGGAGUACGACCGCAAGGUUGAAACUCAAAGGAAUUGACGGGGGCCCGCACAAGCGGUGGAGCAUGUGGUUUAAUUCGAAGCAACGCGAAGAACCUUACCAGGUCUUGACAUCCCGAUGCUAUUUCUAGAGAUAGAAAGUUACUUCGGUACAUCGGUGACAGGUGGUGCAUGGUUGUCGUCAGCUCGUGUCGUGAGAUGUUGGGUUAAGUCCCGCAACGAGCGCAACCCCUAUUGUUAGUUGCCAUCAUUCAGUUGGGCACUCUAGCGAGACUGCCGGUAAUAAACCGGAGGAAGGUGGGGAUGACGUCAAAUCAUCAUGCCCCUUAUGACCUGGGCUACACACGUGCUACAAUGGUUGGUACAACGAGUUGCGAGUCGGUGACGGCGAGCUAAUCUCUUAAAGCCAAUCUCAGUUCGGAUUGUAGGCUGCAACUCGCCUACAUGAAGUCGGAAUCGCUAGUAAUCGCGGAUCAGCACGCCGCGGUGAAUACGUUCCCGGGCCUUGUACACACCGCCCGUCACACCACGAGAGUUUGUAACACCCGAAGUCGGUGAGGUAACCUUUUGGAGCCAGCCGCCUAAGGUGGGACAGAUGAUUGGGGUGAAGUCGUAACAAGGUAGCCGUAUCGGAAGG
rnacentral:rRNA from 1 species